rnacentral:rRNA from 1 species
UGCAAGUCGAACGCGGUUACCUCGCAAGGGGUAACUGAGUGGCGAACGGGUGAGUAACACGUGGGUGACCUACCUUCGAGUGGGGGAUAACGUCCCGAAAGGGACGCUAAUACCGCAUAACAUCCUGCCUUUGAACAGGUGGAGAUCAAAGCCGGGGAUCGCAAGACCUGGCGCUUGAUGAGGGGCCCGCGCCUGAUUAGCUAGUUGGUGGGGUAAUGGCUCACCAAGGCGACGAUCAGUAUCCGGCCUGAGAGGGCGGACGGACACACUGGGACUGAGACACGGCCCAGACUCCUACGGGAGGCAGCAGUGGGGAAUUGUUCGCAAUGGGCGCAAGCCUGACGACGCAACGCCGCGUGGAGGAUGAAGGUCUUCGGAUUGUAAACUCCUGUUGCUCGGGACGAAAAGCUUCGACCUAACACGUCGAAGUCUGACGGUACCGAGUGAGGAAGCCCCGGCUAACUCUGUGCCAGCAGCCGCGGUAAUACAGAGGGGGCAAGCGUUGUUCGGAAUUACUGGGCGUAAAGGGCGCGUAGGCGGCCUGCUAAGUCGAACGUGAAAUCCCUGGGCUCAACCCAGGAACUGCGUCCGAUACUGGUUGGCUUGAAUCCGGGAGAGGGAUGUGGAAUUCCAGGUGUAGCGGUGAAAUGCGUAGAUAUCUGGAGGAACACCGGUGGCGAAGGCGACAUCCUGGACCGGUAUUGACGCUGAGGCGCGAAAGCCAGGGGAGCAAACGGGAUUAGAUACCCCGGUAGUCCUGGCCCUAAACGAUGAAUGCUUGGUGUGGCGGGUAUCGAUCCCUGCCGUGCCGAAGCUAACGCAUUAAGCAUUCCGCCUGGGGAGUACGGUCGCAAGGCUG